rnacentral:rRNA from 1 species
CCUUGAUGGCGACCGGCGCACGGGUGCGUAACGCGUAUGCAACCUACCUUUAACAGGGGCAUAACACUGAGAAAUUGGUACUAAUUCCCCAUAACAUUCGAGAAGGCAUCUUCUUGGGUUAAAAACUCCGGUGGUUAAAGAUGGGCAUGCGUUGUAUUAGCUAGUUGGUGAGGUAACGGCUCACCAAGGCAACGAUACAUAGGGGGACUGAGAGGUUAACCCCCCACAUUGGUACUGAGACACGGACCAA